UGCAUUCACUACUGUAAGUCGCUCUGGAUAAGAGCAUCUGCUAAAUGGCUAAAA
rfam:Salmo salar isolate Sally breed double haploid chromosome ssa16, whole genome shotgun sequence.